AGUUGAUUUUAUAAACCGGCUUCGUUUGAUAUCGUAAUUAGCCGUCACAAUAUUACUAUUCCCAGCGCAAGAACGAAAAAAAGGGCCUGCGUAUACUCGUUCUAUCCACGGCCGACUCCAAUCAUUCCAUCCCCCUCCGGGCCAAAACCUAGUAUCCCCGCCGCCACCGCCGCCGCCGCCAUCUCUCGCCCCACCGCCAGUCCGCCGAUCCGCGCUGCUCUUAUGUCCAUCCUCCUCGACAUCUAGCUGCGGUUCCUCCCCUUCAGGCUACUUCGACUCAUCCUCGGCAUUGCCAUUCAAGCUCCGUGCCCCCUUGUCAUCUCACAUUGGAUCCUCACCGGAAGAGUCCGCCAGUUUCUCUGGGGCGCCUCCGCCGGCUGCUCGCUCCCAGUUUCCCUCGACCACCACUUGCCCAUGGAUGGUAUUGCUUAUUAUGGUGAGUUCAUCAGAAACAUGGAUGCUAUCUGUAGGCAAUAUAUUGUUUGCAUACGAAUCCGUCCAGAUAAUCCUUCCAAUGUCAGUCGGGACUGGCAUAGUUGUUGCCUCCGGAGACAGAACAUGUUUCGUUAUUACUGCUCGUGGUCUUGUCAGGAAUGAGGGAGUAGUCGAAGUUGAAUUUUCUGACGGUACUGUGCAACAAAUUGACCGGAAGAAGGUUAGAUGUCAAAGGGAAGCGUCGCUCAUUCUUAUCGAAAGUGAUAUGAAGCAUUGGGCAACCGUGAACUUCAGUAAGAAUGAAGCUGUAGAAGGCCAAAGGGUCUUCACUUAUGGCUAUAACUCAACUCCACCAACAAGAAGAUACAUAUCAGGAAAUCUUGUUUGUAGAAGGCCAAAGGGUCUUCACUUAUGGCUAUAACUCAACUCCACCAACAAGAAGAUACAUAUCAGGAAAUCUUGUUUGUGGGGCAGGGAUAGCAAACAAUGAUAGUAUUCAAUUUGUUCAUGGAUGCUCAACUGGUGUGAAGGGCCAUCUAGGAUCGGCUGUUUUUAAUGAAGCAAACCAACUUGUUGGCAUGAAUUUCUUCUAUACAAGAUCUAAAGGUGUAGAUUAUUGCGUCGACUCUAAGAAACACCAACAAGAACAAAAGGAGAAUCAACAAGAUCAGAAAGAGAAAUCUUCCCCAGGUGGCCUGGUAUCUGCCAUUGACUUGCACACAAUAAGACACACACUUCAGUUGUUUCUCCCUAAAGCAACAGGAAAGAAUCUCCAAGAAACCUUGCAGUAUUUACAAGAUGUCCUUAAAUUGUCUGAGGCCAGUUGAUCUUCAACCUUUGUUAGAAGUGUUAUCCAAUUCGGAAAAUGUAUGAGACUGAAGUCGUGCAUGUCAGGAGUACCAGAUGAAGGUUAUAGAUGUGGGAGUUCAUAACUGAGCUACAGCCUGUUAUUCUUGCUUCCACUUUGUCAAGUGUGUGAGCAGUUCAUUUUUGUCGUUAACCCCAUGGUGUGCAGGACAUUCAUUCAUAUGUUGGUCAUGAUUAAUGAGACUUGUUGCUGACUAAACGGAGGCUUGCUGCAACAGAAGUGUGUGAGGAAUGCCUUUCGAUUUGGCAGAGGCAGACUGCCUGAUAUUAUAUGUUAGAGAUGGUUAGAGUAUUCACCAUCAACCCAAUGGAUAUUUACGAAAAUUCUUGUAUCCAUCCUCGCAUUUUUCUGUUAAAUUUGGUACUGCAUAAUGCUGGUGGUUGUGACUUCUGAGUCAAAGCUAAGGAAGAUGACAAUUUGCAGGUCAA